GACGAACGCUGGCGGCGUGCUUAACACAUGCAAGUCGAACGGAAAGGCCCUGCUUUUGUGGGGUGCUCGAGUGGCGAACGGGUGAGUAACACGUGAGUAACCUGCCCUUGACUUUGGGAUAACUUCAGGAAACUGGGGCGAAUACCGGAUAGGAGCUCCUGCUGCAUGGUGGGGGUUGGAAAGUUUCGGCGGUUGGGGAUGGACUCGCGGCUUAUCAGCUUGUUGGUGGGGUAGUGGCUUACCAAGGCUUUGACGGGUAGCCGGCCUGAGAGGGUGACCGGCCACAUUGGGACUGAGAUACGGCCCAGACUCCUACGGGAGGCAGCAGUGGGGAAUAUUGCACAAUGGGCGGAAGCCUGAUGCAGCAACGCCGCGUGCGGGAUGACGGCCUUCGGGUUGUAAACCGCUUUCGCCUGUGACGAAGCGUGCGUGACGGUAAUGGGUAAAGAAGCACCGGCUAACUACGUG
rnacentral:rRNA from 1 species